rnacentral:sRNA from 1 species
ACUCAUCAUUUAACACUUGUGAACUUAUUCAUUAUAAACAUUAUCAUUUGUUAUUGGAACGAUUGAAUUAUAACAAGUUAAUACAACUUUCAACAACGGAUCUCUUGGUUCUCGCAUCGAUGAAGAACGCAGCGAAAUGCGAUAAGUAAUGUGAAUUGCAGAAUUCAGUGAAUCAUCGAAUCUUUGAACGCACCUUGCGCUCCCUGGUAUUCCGGGGAGCAUGCCUGUUUGAGUGUCGUGAAAUCAUCAUGGUCAUGAUCUUUAAUUAAUCAUGGCUUGGUUUUGGAGGUUAUGUUGGCUUUUUAUUAAGUUGACUCCUCUUAAAUACAUUAGCUCAGUGUUUAAUGCUUAGAGCGGUUCACGGUGUGAUAAUUAUCUACACUUCAACCAAUUUAAGUUAGCUGGCUUCUAAUCGAUCCUUAGUGAUCACUUUGUGUAUUUGACCUCAAAUCAGGUAGGACUACCCGCUGAACUUAAGCAUAUCAAUAAGCGGAGGAA